UACGGAGGGGGCUAGCGUUGUUCGGAAUUACUGGGCGUAAAGCGCACGUAGGCGGCUUUGCAAGUUAGAGGUGAAAGCCCGGGGCUCAACUCCGGAAUUGCCUUUAAAACUGCAUCGCUAGAAUUGUGGAGAGGUAAGUGGAAUUCCGAGUGUAGAGGUGAAAUUCGUAGAUAUCGGGAGGAACACCAGUGGCGAAGGCGGCGACCUGGGCCAAUAUUGACGCUGAGGUGCGAAAGCGUGGGGAGCAAACAGG
rnacentral:rRNA from 1 species